rnacentral:rRNA from 1 species
GACGAACGCUGGCGGCGUGCCUAAUACAUGCAAGUAGAACGCUGAAGAGAGGAGCUUGCUCUUCUUGGAUGAGUUGCGAACGGGUGAGUAACGCGUAGGUAACCUGCCUGGUAGCGGGGGAUAACUAUUGGAAACGAUAGCUAAUACCGCAUAAUAGUAGAUGUUGCAUGACAUUUGCUUAAAAGGUGCAAUUGCAUCACUACCAGAUGGACCUGCGUUGUAUUAGCUAGUUGGUGAGGUAACGGCUCACCAAGGCAACGAUACAUAGCCGACCUGAGAGGGUGAUCGGCCACACUGGGACUGAGACACGGCCCAGACUCCUACGGGAGGCAGCAGUAGGGAAUCUUCGGCAAUGGACGGAAGUCUGACCGAGCAACGCCGCGUGAGUGAAGAAGGUUUUCGGAUCGUAAAGCUCUGUUGUAAGAGAAGAACGAGUGUGAGAGUGGAAAGUUCACACUGUGACGGUAUCUUACCAGAAAGGGACGGCUAACUACGUGCCAGCAGCCGCGGUAAUACGUAGGUCCCGAGCGUUGUCCGGAUUUAUUGGGCGUAAAGCGAGCGCAGGCGGUUAGAUAAGUCUGAAGUUAAAGGCUGUGGCUUAACCAUAGUACGCUUUGGAAACUGUUUAACUUGAGUGCAAGAGGGGAGAGUGGAAUUCCAUGUGUAGCGGUGAGAUGCGUAGAUAUAUGGAGGAACACCGGUGGCGAAAGCGGCUCUCUGGCUUGUAACUGACGCUGAGGCUCGAAAGCGUGGGGAGCAAACAGG